rnacentral:rRNA from 1 species
GAUGAACGCUAGCUACAGGCUUAACACAUGCAAGUCGAGGGGUAACGAGAGGAAAGCUUGCUUUCCUUGUCGACGACCGGCGCACGGGUGAGUAACGCGUAUCCAACCUGCCCCCAACUAGGGAAUAACCUUGCGAAAGUAAGACUAAUACCCUAUAAUUUCCUCAGAUGUCAUCUGACGAGGAAUAAAGAUUUAUCGGUUGUGGAUGGGGAUGCGUCUGAUUAGCUUGUUGGCGGGGUAACGGCCCACCAAGGCAACGAUCAGUAGGGGUUCUGAGAGGAAGGUCCCCCACAUUGGAACUGAGACACGGUCCAAACUCCUACGGGAGGCAGCAGUGAGGAAUAUUGGUCAAUGGGCGGAAGCUUGAACCAGCCAAGUAGCGUGCAGGAUGACGGCCCUAUGGGUUGUAAACUGCUUUUAUACAGGAAUAAAGUUAGCCACGUGUGGUUAUUUGUAGGUACCGUAAGAAUAAGGAUCGGCUAACUCCGUGCCAGCCGCCGCCGUAA